GACGAACGCUGGUGGCGUGCCUAGUACAUGCAAGUCGAGCGCAGGAAGCUCACGGAACUCUUCGGAGGGAAGUGAAGGGAAUGAGCGGCGGACGGGUGAGUAACACGUAAGGAACCUGCCCCAAGGAUUGGGAUAACUCCGAGAAAUCGGAGCUAAUACCGAAUAGUUCUUCAGACCGCAUGGUCUGAUGAUGAAAGGCGCUUCGGUGUCACCUUGGGAUGGCCUUGCGGUGCAUUAGCUAGUUGGUGGGGUAAUGGCCCACCAAGGCGACGAUGCAUAGCCGACCUGAGAGGGUGAUCGGCCACACUGGGACUGAGACACGGCCCAGACUCCUACGGGAGGCAGCAGUAUGGAAUCUUCCACAAUGGACGAAAGUCUGAUGGAGCAACGCCGCGUGAGUGAUGAAGGUUUUCGGAUCGUAAAACUCUGUUGUAAGGGAAGAACAGGUAUGAGAGGUAAUGCUCAUGCUAUGACGGUACCUUACGAGAAAGCCACGGCUAACUACGUGCCAGCCGCCGCCGUAAGAC
rnacentral:rRNA from 1 species